GCUCAAAUUUGAAAUCUUAAAGGGUUUCCCCUUACGAAUUGUAGUUUAAAGAAGUGUUUUCUGUUGAGGUUUUGGUAAAAGUUCUUUGGAAUAGGACAUCAUAGAGGGUGAGAAUCCCGUAUUUGACCUUUACUUUCAACUUUGUGAUACACUUUCAAAGAGUCGGAUUGUUUGGGAAUGCAGUCCAAAAUGGGUGGUAAAUUUCAUCUAAAGCUAAAUAUUGGCGAGAGACCGAUAGCGAACAAGUACCGUGAGGGAAAGAUGAAAAGAACUUUGAAAAGAGAGUUAAACAGUACGUGAAAUUGUCAAAAGGGAAGCGUUUGACACCAGUGUUGUUUUUCUGAAAAUCAAUUAAAGAACUGUUUAUGCUAAGUUGUUUAGACUUUAUCAGCUAACUGUUUAGUUUUGAGCUUUUCUUUAAUGCACUUUUCAGUUAACAAG
rnacentral:rRNA from 1 species